rnacentral:ncRNA from 1 species
UAUAUUUGCCGACGUUAAGAAAUACUUACAUAAAAAUCAUUAAAUUUAAUAUUGGCAUG